rnacentral:lncRNA from 1 species
UAUGAUGUGUUAAUUUGAAGAAACUACAAAAUUUUCUUUUUCUUUUCUAGUGAUUCAUAAUUCGAAGCAUUAAACAAAACAACUAAAUGACACAUCAAUAAGAAGAAUCUAUACAGUUUCGAUUGAUCCUAACCAUUGGCAAAACUUUCAUGGAUUUAAUCAAUUGGGCCCUUGGCUGCCACUGGCAGUUCCAAAUAACCUGCUACUACUUCUGCCCAAGGAUAGAGAGCCAUUCUUUUGGUCCUCCACCACAAUGGCAAAGUAUAUCUAAGACAGAAAUCUAUUGCCCCUCUACCAGGUGGGAA